CAGUCGCCGCGGUAAUACGAGGGGGGCAAGCGUUGUUCGGAAUUAUUGGGCGUAAAGGGUGCGUAGGCGGUUUGGCAAGUUUGGUGUGAAAUCUUCGGGCUCAACUCGAAGUCUGCAUCGAAAACUGCCGGGCUUGAGUAUGGGAGAGGUGAGUGGAAUUUCCGGUGUAGCGGUGAAAUGCGUAGAUAUCGGAAGGAACACCUGUGGCGAAAGCGGCUCACUGGACCAUAACUGACGCUGAUGCACGAAAGCUAGGGGAGCAAACAGGAUUAGAUACCCCCGUAGUCCCUGUCUCUUAUAC
rnacentral:rRNA from 1 species